UGGGAAUUUUCCGCAAUGGGCGAAAGCCUGACGGAGCGAUGCCGCGUGGAGGUGGAAGGCCUACGGGUCGUCAACUUCUUUUCUCGGAGAAGAAACAAUGACGGUAUCUGAGGAAUAAGCAUCGGCUAACUCUGNGCCAG
rnacentral:rRNA from 1 species